rnacentral:rRNA from 1 species
GUGGGGAAUAUUGGACAAUGGGGGGAACCCUGAUCCAGCCAUGCCGCGUGUGUGAAGAAGGCCUUUUGGUUGUAAAGCACUUUAAGCGAGGAGGAGGCUACCGAGAUUAAUACUCUUGGAUAGUGGACGUUACUCGCAGAAUAAGCACCGGCUAACUCUGUGCCAGCAGCCGCGGUAAUACAGAGGGUGCAAGCGUUAAUCGGAUUUACUGGGCGUAAAUCGCGCGUAGGUGGCCAAUUAAGUUAAAUGUGAAAUCCCCGAGCUUAACUUGGGAAUUGCAUUCGAUACUGGUUGGCUAGAGUAUGGGAGAGGAUGGUAGAAUUCCAGGUGUAGCGGUGAAAUGCGUAGAGAUCUGGAGGAAUACCGAUGGCGAAGGCAGCCAUCUGGCCUAAUACUGACACUGAGGUGCGAAAGCAUGGGGAGCAAACAGGAUUAGAAACCCCAGUAGUCC